GACGAACGCUGGCGGCGCGCUUAACACAUGCAAGUCGAGCGAAGCGGCGGACGGGUGAGUAACACGUGAGUAACCUGCCUUAGACAUUGGGAUAGCCUCGGGCAACCGGGAUUAAUACCAAAUGGUCUAAGAUGGACUCGCGUCCCAUUACCAAGUUGGCGAGGUAACGGCCCACCAAGGCGACGAUGGGUAGCCGGACUGAGGAGAUGAACGGCCACAUUGGAACUGAGAAACGGUCCAAACUCUACGGGAGGCAGCAGUGGGGAGUAUUGCACAAUGGAGGGAAAUCUGAUGCAGCGACGCCGCGUGAACGAAGAAGACGUUCGGGACGGAAAGUUCUUUAAAAUGGGAAGCGGUACCAUAAGAAAAAGCCCCGGCUAACUACGUGCAAGCCGCCGCGGUAUAC
rnacentral:rRNA from 1 species